CAGAACGAACGCUGGCGGCGCGUUUAAGCAUGCAAGUCGAGCGGCAAGGGCCUUCGGGCCCCUAGAGCGGCGACGGGUGAGUAACACGUGGACAAUCUGCCCCCCGGCCCGGGAUAGCCCAGGGAAACCUGGAUUAAUACCGGAUGAGACGGGACCCGCGAUGGCGGGAUCCGGGAAAGGCGCUGCGGCGCCGCCGGGGGAUGAGUCUGCGUCCCAUUAGCUAGACGGCGGGGUAACGGCCCACCGUGGCGACGAUGGGUAGCCGGCCUGAGAGGGUGGACGGCCACAUUGGAACUGAGACACGGUCCAGACUCCUACGGGAGGCAGCAGCUAAGAAUCUUCCGCAAUGGGCGAAAGCCUGACGGAAGCGACGCCGCGUGAACGAAGAAGGCCGUGAGGUUGUAAAGUUCUUUUCGGGAGGGGGAACAACCGUGGCAGGGAAUGGCCGCGGGAUGACGUGAAUCCCGGAAUAAGCCCCGGCUAACUACGUGCCAGCCGCCGC
rnacentral:rRNA from 1 species